AACGAACGCUGGCGGCGUACUUAACACAUGCAAGUCGGACGAGAAAGGAGACUUCGGUCUCUGAGUACAGUGGCGCACGGGUGCGUAACACGUAAGUAAUCUACCCCGAACUCUGGGAUAACCCUCCGAAAGGAGGGCUAAUACUGGAUAGGGUCCCCGAGGUGUAGGCUGCGGGGGGAAAACGGGCCUCUGUUUCAUGCUCGUGGUUUGGGAUGAGCUUGCGGCCCAUUAGCUAGUUGGUAAGGUAAUGGCUUACCAAGGCAACGAUGGGUAGCUGGUCUGAGAGGAUGAUCAGCCACACUGGCACUGAGACACGGGCCAGACUCCUACGGGAGGCAGCAGUGGGGAAUUUUGCGCAAUGGGCGAAAGCCUGACGCAGUAACGCCGCGUGGAGGAUGAAGGCCUUCGGGUUGUAAACUCCUGUCAGGAGGAACGACGGGGAAGGGGUGAUAAACCCUUUCCUCCAGACGGUACCUCCAAAGGAAGCCCCGGCUAAUUC
rnacentral:rRNA from 1 species